rnacentral:rRNA from 1 species
GACGAACGCUGGAGGCGUGCUUAACACAUGCAAGUCGAACGAUGAAAUGGAGCUUGCUCCAUGGAUUAGUGGCGAACGGGUGAGUAACACGUGAAUAACCUGCCCUUAAUUUUGGAAUAACCCAGGGAAACCUGGGCUAAUACCGGAUAAGUAAACCUGUGGCAUCACAUGGUUUUGGAAAGUUUUUCGAUUAAGGAUGGAUUCGCGGCCUAUCAGCUUGUUGGUGAGGUAAUGGCUCACCAAGGCGAAGACGGGUAGCCGGCCUGAGAGGCUAAACGGCCACACUGGGACUGAGACACGGCCCAGACUCCUACGGGAGGCAGCAGUGGGGAAUAUUGCGCAAUGGACGAAAGUCUGACGCAGCGACGCCUCGUGAGGGACGAAGGUCUUCGGAUUGUAAACCUCUUUCAGCAGGGACGAAGCGAAAGUGACGGUACCUGCAGAAGAAGCACCGACUAACUAUGUGCCAGCAGCCGCGGUAA